UAGGGAAUCUUCCACAAUGGACGCAAGUCUGAUGGAGCAACGCCGCGUGAGUGAAGAAGGUUUUCGGAUCGUAAAGCUCUGUUGUUGGUGUAGAAGGAUAGAGGCAGUAACUGGUCUUUAUUUGACGGUAAUCAACCAGAAAGUCACGGCUAACUACGUGCCAGCAGCCGCGGUAAUACGUAGGUGGCAAGCGUUGUCCGGAUUUAUUGGGCGUAAAGCGAGCGCAGGCGGAAUGAUAAGUCUGAUGUGAAAGCCCACGGCUCAACCGUGGAACUGCAUCGGAAACUGUCAUUCUUGAGUGCAGAAGAGGAGAGUGGAAUUCCAUGUGUAGCGGUGGAAUGCGUAGAUAUAUGGAAGAACACCAGUGGCGAAGGCGGCUCUCUGGUCUGCAACUGACGCUGAGGCUCGAAAGCAUGGGUAGCGAACAGG
rnacentral:rRNA from 1 species